rnacentral:rRNA from 1 species
UACGGAGGGUGCAAGCGUUAUCCGGAAUCACUGGGUUUAAAGGGUGCGUAGGUGGCCUAAUAAGUCAGAGGUGAAAUCCCAUCGCUUAACGAUGGAACUGCCUUUGAUACUGUUAGGCUUGAAUUGGGUUGAGGUAAGCGGAAUGUGGCAUGUAGCGGUGAAAUGCAUAGAUAUGCCAUAGAACACCGAUUGCGAAGGCAGCUUACUGGACCUUGAUUGACACUGAGGCACGAAAGCGUGGGGAGCGAACAGG